rnacentral:rRNA from 1 species
AUNGGUGUUCGCCUAAGCCAUUCGAGUUAUAUGUAGCAUUACANGGCGUACUGCUCAGUAACACGUGGAUAACCUGCCCUUGGGACCGGCAUAACCCCNGGAAACUGGGGAUAAUUCCGGAUAACGCAUAUCUGCUGGAAUGCUUUAUGCGUCAAAAGGNAUUUUUCUGCCCAAGGAUGGUUCUGCGGCCUUUCAGGUAGUAGUGGGUGUAAUGUACCUACUAGCCAGCGACGGGUACCGGGUUGUGAGAGCAAGAGCCCGGAGAUGGAUUCUGAGACAUGAAUCCAGGCCCUACGGGGCGCAGCAGGCGCGAAAACUUUACAAUGCGGGAAACCGUGAUAAGGGGACACCGAGUGCCAGCAUCAUAUGCUGGCUGUCCGGAUGUGUAAAAUACAUCCGUUAGCAUGGGCCGGGCAAGACCGGUGCCAGCCGCCGCGGUAACACCGGCGGCCCGAGUGGUGAUCGUGAUUAUUGGGUCUAAAGGGUCCGUAGCCGGUUUGGUCAGUCCUCCGGGAAAUCUGAUAGCUCAACUAUUAGGCUUUCGGGGGAUACUGCCAGACUUGGAACCGGGAGAGGUAAGAGGUACUACAGGGGUAGGAGUGAAAUCUUGUAAUCCCUGUGGGACCACCUGUGGCGAAGGCGUCUUACCAGAACGGGUUCGACGGUGAGGGACGAAAGCUGGGGGCACGAACCGGAUUAGAUACUCGGGUAGUCCCAGCCGUAAACGAUGCUGGCUAGGUGUCAGGCAUGGCGCGACCGUGUCUGGUGCCGCAGGGAAGCCGCGAAGCGAGCCACCUGGGAAGUUACGGCCGCCAGGCUGAAACUUAAAGGAAUUGGCGGGGGAGCACAACAACGGGUGGAGCCUGCGGUUUAAUUGGACUCAACGCCGGACAACUCACCGGGGGCGACGGCAAUAUCGUAGGGCAAGCUGAAGACUUUGCCUGAAUCGCUGAGAGGAAGGUGCAUGGCCGUCGCCAGUUCGUACUGUGAAGCAUCCUGUUAAGUCAGGCAACGAGCGANA